rnacentral:rRNA from 1 species
ACACAUGCAAGUCGAGGGGCAGCGCGGGAUAGCAAUAUUCUGGCGGCGACCGGCGGAAGGGUGCGCAACGCGUGAGCGACAUGCCCGUUGCCCGGGGACAACCGGUGGAAACGCCGACUAAUCCCCGAUGGGAUACGAUGCUGCAUGGCAUUGUAUUGAAAGUUACGGCGGCGACGGAUUGGCUCGCGUCCGAUUAGCUGGUUGGCGGGGUAACGGCCCACCAAGGCUGCGAUCGGUAGGGGUUCUGAGAGGAAGGCCCCCCACAAUGGGACUGAGACACGGCCCAUACUCCUACGGGAGGCAGCAGUGAGGAAUAUUGGUCAAUGGGCGGAAGCCUGAACCAGCCAUGCCGCGUGCGGGAAGGAGGCCCUAUGGGCUGUGAACCGCUUUUGCCUGGGGGCAAUAAGGGCGUCGCGCACGCCCGAUGAGAGUACCAGGCGAAUAAGCAUCGGCUAACUCCGUGCCAGCAGCCGCGGUAAUACGGGGGAUGCGAGCGUUAUCCGGAUUCAUUGGGUUUAAAGGGUGCGUAGGCUGUGCGUCAAGUCGGGGGUGAAAUUCCGGUGCUCAACACCGGGGCUGCCCUUGAUACUGUCGCGCUGGAGUGCGGAUGCCGCCGGAGGAAUGAGUGGUGUAGCGGUGAAAUGCUUAGAUAUCACUCAGAACACCGAUUGCGAAGGCAUCUGGCGAAUCCGUAACUGACGCUGAGGCACGAAAGCGUGGGGAUAGAACAGGAUUAGAUACCCUGGUAUUCCACGCCGUAAACGAUGAUGGCUAACCGCCGGCGACACACUGUCGGUGGCCAAGCGAAAGCGAUAAGCCAUCCACCUGGGGAGUACGUCGGCA